GCUGGCAUGGCUCAACGGUAGAGCAGCUGACUUGUAAUCAGCAGGUUGUAG
rnacentral:tRNA from 1 species